rnacentral:rRNA from 1 species
AUCUAAAUAUCCUGAAGGCUUCAGAUCCCAUCGGAUCUUAACAGUUAAUCAAGAUCAGGCUUGUUUAGUACUUGGAAGGGAGACUUUCAAGGAACACCAGGUGCUUUAGGUA